AGAGUUUGAUCAUGGCUCAGGAUGAACGCUGGCGGCGUGCCUAACACAUGCAAGUCGAACGGUCGUAAGACAGUGGCGCACGGGUGAGGAACACGUAGCUGACCUGCCUCUGGGAGGGGGAUAACAGUUCGAAAGGACUGCUAAUACCGCAUAACGUUACCUCAAAUAGCGUGAGGUAACCAAAGGAGCAAUCCACCUGGAGAGGGGGCUGCGACCUAUCAGGUAGUUGGUGGGGUAAAAGCCUACCAAGCCGACGACGGGUCGGGGGUCUGAGAGGAUGACCCCCCACACUGGGACUGAGACACGGCCCAGACUCCUACGGGAGGCAGCAGUGAGGGAUAUUGCACAAUGGGGGAAACCCUGAUGCAGCGACGCCGCGUGGGUGAUGAAGGCUUUCGGGUCGUAAAACCCUUUUUGACAUGACGAGAACGGACGGUAGUGUCAGAAUAAGUCUCGGCUAACUACGUGCCAGCAGCCGCGGUAAUAC
rnacentral:rRNA from 1 species